rnacentral:rRNA from 1 species
ACAUGCAGUCGAGCGCGGGAUGCGAGCGGAUCCCUUCGGGGUGAAGCUCGUGGAACGAGCGGCGGACGGGUGAGUAACACGUGGGCAACCUGCCUGUAAGAUCGGAAUAACCCCGGGAAACCGGGGCUAAUGCCGGGUAAUACUUUUCUUCGCAUGAAGAUGAGUUGAAAGAUGGCUUCUCGCUAUCACUUACAGAUGGGCCCGCGGCGCAUUAGCUAGUUGGUGAGGUAACGGCUCACCAAGGCAACGAUGCGUAGCCGACCUGAGAGGGUGAUCGGCCACACUGGGACUGAGACACGGCCCAGACUCCUACGGGAGGCAGCAGUAGGGAAUCUUCCGCAAUGGACGAAAGUCUGACGGAGCAACGCCGCGUGAACGAUGAAGGUCUUCGGAUCGUAAAGUUCUGUUGUCAGGGAAGAACAAGUACCGUGCGAAUAGAGCGGUACCUUGACGGUACCUGACGAGGAAGCCCCGGCUAACUACGUGCCAGCAGCCGCGGUAAUACGUAGGGGGCAAGCGUUGUCCGGAAUUAUUGGGCGUAAAGCGCGCGCAGGCGGUUCCUUAAGUCUGAUGUGAAAGCCCACGGCUCAACCGUGGAGGGUCAUUGGAAACUGGGGAACUUGAGGACAGAAGAGGAGAGUGGAAUUCCACGUGUAGCGGUGAAAUGCGUAGAUAUGUGGAGGAACACCAGUGGCGAAGGCGACUCUCUGGUCUGUUUCUGACGCUGAGGUGCGAAAGCGUGGGUAGCAAACAGGAUUAGAUACCCUGGUAGUCCACGCCGUAAACGAUGAGUGCUAGGUGUUAGGGGGCUUCCACCCCUUAGUGCUGAAGUUAACGCAUUAAGCAC